GGGUAGUUUGACUGGGGCGGUCUCCUCCUAAAGAGUAACGGAGGAGCACGAAGGUCAGCUAAUCCUGGUCGGACAUCAGGAGGUUAGUGCAAUGGCAUAAGCUGGCUUGACUGCGAGCGUGACGGCGCGAGCAGGUGCGAAAGCAGGUCAUAGUGAUCCGGUGGUUCUGAAUGGAAGGGCCAUCGCUCAACGGAUAAAAGGUACUCCGGGGAUAACAGGCUGAUACCGCCCAAGAGUUCAUAUCGACGGCGGUGUUUGGCACCUCGAUGUCGGCUCAUCACAUCCUGGGGCUGAAGUAGGUCCCAAGGGUAUGGCUGUUCGCCAUUUAAAGUGGUACGCGAGCUGGGUUUAGAACGUCGUGAGACAGUUCGGUCCCUAUCUGCCGUGGGCGCUGGAGAAUUGAGGGGGGCUGCUCCUAGUACGAGAGGACCGGAGUGGACGCAUCACUGGUGUUCGGGUUGUCAUGCCAAUGGCAUUGCCCGGUAGCUAAAUGCGGAAGAGAUAAGUGCUGAAAGCAUCUAAGCACGAAACUUGCCCCGAGAUGAGUUCUCCCUGACCCUUUAAGGGUCCUGAAGGAACGUUGAAGACGACGACGUUGAUAGGCCGGGUGUGUAAGCGCAGCGAUGCGUUGAGCUAACCGGUACUAAUGAACCGUGAGGCUUAACCUU
rnacentral:rRNA from 2 species